rnacentral:rRNA from 1 species
UACGUAGGGCGCAAGCGUUGUCCGGAAUUAUUGGGCGUAAAGAGCUCGUAGGCGGCUUGUCACGUCGGGUGUGAAAGCCCGGGGCUUAACCCCGGGUCUGCAUUCGAUACGGGCUGGCUAGAGUGUGGUAGGGGAGAUCGGAAUUCCUGGUGUAGCGGUGAAAUGCGCAGAUAUCAGGAGGAACACCGGUGGCGAAGGCGGCUCUCUGGGCCUUACCUGACGCUGAGGAGCGAAAGCGUGGGUAGCGAACAGG